rnacentral:misc_RNA from 1 species
GAUGAAGAACGCAGCGAAAUGCGAUAAGUAAUGUGAAUUGCAGAAUUCAGUGAAUCAUCGAAUCUUUGAACGCACAUUGCGCCCCUUGGUAUUCCGAGGGGCAUGCCUGUUCGAGCGUCAUUAUAACCCCUCAAGCUCAGCUUGGUGUUGGGGCCUGCUGCACUGGCAGCCCUUAAAAUCAGUGGCGGCGCCAUCUGGCUCUAAGCGUAGUAAUUCUUCUCGCUAUGGAGUCCUGGUGGAUGCUUGCCAUCAACCCCCAAUUUUUCUAUGGAUGACCUCGGAUCAGGUAGGGAUACCCGCUGAACUUAAGCAUAUCAAUAAGCGGAGGA